UACGAAGGGGGCUAGCGUUGCUCGGAAUUACUGGGCGUAAAGGGCGCGUAGGCGGACAGUUUAGUCAGAGGUGAAAGCCCAGGGCUCAACCUUGGAAUUGCCUUUGAUACUGGCUGUCUUGAGUUCGGGAGAGGUGAGUGGAAUGCCGAGUGUAGAGGUGAAAUUCGUAGAUAUUCGGCGGAACACCAGUGGCGAAGGCGACAUGCUGGGUUGCACCUGACGCUGAGUUGCGAAAGUGUGGGGAGCAAACGGG
rnacentral:rRNA from 1 species